GUACUCGUGAUGAAAAAGUUUUUAAAAAUUGACAAGCAUAUGUCUUAAUCUUUUAGUGACGACAAACUUUAACCGUCUGAUAU